AAUAUAUCAAUACUUCAAAGUGUCAAGAAUGAUCCAUUGAUCAUUCAUUAACAUGUUUGAAGUGUUGAAUAUUAAAUCAACCCUAAGACCAAUUACCAUGACCAAUAGAAUAUCAUCAACCAUGAUUAAAUACAAGGGUAAAAAUGUACAAUUAAAAUGAUAAAAAAAUGGAUAAAUAAAAUAGAUAUUUGAUGAAAAAAGUAUUUACAAAAAUAUUGGGUUUAAAAGAAAUAAAUGAGAAAAUAAAUUAAAAGGAAAAGAAAAUAAAGAAAGUAAAGUGAAAUAUCAAAUAAAAAGGAAAAAGAAGAAAAAAGAACAAUGGGGACGCAAGGGGUUGAACCCCUAACCUUGGGGUCAUGGGUCAACCUCUUUACCACUAAGCCAAGAGCUCUUGGUUGUUAAGAAACACGCUCAUGAAAAUAAAUAAAAUUCUUCAAUAACAAUAAAUGGAAGAACCAAUCACAACCACAUGAUCUGAUUAAUUAAUAAAAGUAAACAAAAUGGAGCGCCUUGAUCCUAGGGAACACAAAACACGUGUUGAC
rnacentral:lncRNA from 1 species